UGAGUCAACGGUAACCGGACCGUAGGGAGGAUUAAGGAGUUGACUCGCUCAGCGCC
rfam:Bacillus subtilis plasmid pLS30 DNA, complete sequence.